rnacentral:rRNA from 1 species
GGGCUGCAGUAUUUUGACUGUACAAAGGUAGCAUAAUCAUUAGUCUCUUAAUUGGUGACUUGUAUGAAAGAUUGGAUGAGAUAUAUACUGUCUCUGAUUGAUUUAUAAAACUUAAUUUUUUAGUAAAAAAGCUAAAAUAAUUUUAAAAGACGAGAAGACCCUGUAGAGUUUUAUAAUUUAUUUUAUUGUUGUUGUUAUAUAAAUUUCUUAAAUUAAAAUAAAAUAAAUUAUUUUGUUGGGGUGACAAAAAAAUUAAAUUAACUUUUUUUUAAUAUAAAACAUUAAUUUAUGAUUUUAUGAUCCAUUAAUAAUGAUUAAAAGAAAAAAUUACCUUAGGGAUAACAGCGUAAUUUUUUUUUUUAGUUCAAAUAGGAAAAAAAGUUUGCGACCUCGAUGUUGGAUUAA